rnacentral:rRNA from 1 species
UCCUACGGGAGGCAGCAGUGGGGAAUAUUGGACAAUGGGGGCAACCCUGAUCCAGCCAUGCCGCGUGUGUGAAGAAGGCCCUCGGGUUGUAAAGCACUUUCAGCGAGGAAGAACGCCUAGCGGUUAAUACCCGCUAGGAAAGACAUCACUCGCAGAAGAAGCACCGGCUAACUCCGUGCCAGCAGCCGCGGUAAUACGGAGGGUGCAAGCGUUAAUCGGAAUUACUGGGCGUAAAGCGCGCGUAGGUGGCUUGAUAAGCCGGUUGUGAAAGCCCCGGGCUCAACCUGGGAACGGCAUCCGGAACUGUCAAGCUAGAGUGUAGGAGAGGAAGGUAGAAUUCCCGGUGUAGCGGUGAAAUGCGUAGAGAUCGGGAGGAAUACCAGUGGCGAAGGCGGCCUUCUGGACUGACACUGACACUGAGGUGCGAAAGCGUGGGUAGCAAACAGGAUUAGAUACCCUGGUAGUCCACGCCGUAAACGAUGUCGACCAGCCGUUGGGUGCCUAGCGCACUUUGUGGCGAAGUUAACGCGAUAAGUCGACCGCCUGGGGAGUACGGCCGCAAGGUUAAAACUCAAAUGAAUUGACGG